ACCCUCUCAGGGUCACAGCUGAAGAGUUUCCAGUACUCUACCAGUCUUGACUACGGGAGGCAGAGUCAAGCAGGGGCAUUCCAUUUCUAGCUUGGCCAGUGGCUAGCAAGUGGAAGGCAAUCUGCUACAAGU